rnacentral:misc_RNA from 1 species
CACUAGCCCCGAUAGAAGCAAUUGUUUGAGCUCAUUUUUAUUAAUUUCGACGGCGCGGCUCCGCCGCGCCGCCGAAAUUAAUAAAAAUAGCGAGUGCGGAUAGCGGGAUUAAGC